rnacentral:sRNA from 1 species
ACUAGUCCUGGCUGGCC